UCAGGGCGAGGCCGGGGCACAACACGGCCAGGCGGCGUGCAAUGCGACAUGCAGGGCGAGGACGGGACACAACACGGCCAGGCGGCGUGCAGUACAACACGCAGCGCUUGCAGGGCGAGGACGGGACACAACACGGCCAGGCAACGUGCAAUGCAACAUUCAGGGCGAGGCCGGGGCACAACACGGCCAGGCGGCGUGCAAUGCGACAUGCAGGGCGAGGACGGGACACAACACGGCCAGGCGGCGUGCAGUACAACACGCAGCGCUUGCAGGGCGAGGACGGGACACAACACGGCCAGGCAACGUGCAAUGCAACAUUCAGGGCGAGGCCGGGGCACAACACGGCCAGGCGGCGUGCAAUGCGACAUGCAGGGCGAGGACGGGACACAACACGGCCAGGCGGCGUGCAGUACAACACGCAGCGCUUGCAGGGCGAGGACGGGACACAACACGGCCAGGCAACGUGCAAUGCAACAUUCAGGGCGAGGCCGGGGCACAACACGGCCAGGCGGCGUGCAAUGCGACAUGCAGGGCGAGGACGGGACACAACACGGCCAGGCGGCGUGCAGUACAACACGCAGCGCUUGCAGGGCGAGGACGGGACACAACACGGCCAGGCAACGUGCAAUGCAACAUUCAGGGCGAGGCCGGGGCACAACACGGCCAGGCGGCGUGCAAUGCGACAUGCAGGGCGAGGACGGGACACAACACGGCCAGGCGGCGUGCAGUACAACACGCAGCGCUUGCAGGGCGAGGACGGGACACAACACGGCCAGGCAACGUGCAAUGCAACAUUCAGGGCGAGGCCGGGGCACAACACGGCCAGGCAGCGUGCAAUGCGACAUGCAGGGCGAGGCCGGGGCACAACACGGCCAGGCAGCGUGCAGUGCAACACGCAGCGCUUGCAGGGCGAGGACGGGACACAACAGGGCCAGGCAACGUGGAAUGCGACAUGCAGGGCAAGGCCGGGGCACAACACGGCCAGGCAGCAUGCAAUGCAACAUGCAGCGCGAGGCCAGGACACAACAGGGCCAGGCAGCGUGCAAUGCGACAUGCAGCGCUUGCAGGGCAAUGACGGGACACAACACGGCCAGGCAACGUGCAAUGCGACAUGCAGCGCUUGCAGGGCAAUGACGGGACACAACACGGCCAGGCAACGUGCAAUGCGACAUGCAGCGCUUGCAGGGCAAUGACGGGACACAACACGGCCAGGCAACGUGCAAUGCGACAUGCAGCGCUUGCAGGGCAAUGACGGGACACAACACGGCCAGGCAACGUGCAAUGCGACAUGCAGCGCUUGCAGGGCAAUGACGGGACACAACACGGCCAGGCAACGUGCAAUGCGACAUGCAGCGCUUGCAGGGCAAUGACGGGACACAACACGGCCAGGCAACGUGCAAUGCGACAUGCAGCGCUUGCAGGGCAAUGACGGGACACAACACGGCCAGGCAACGUGCAAUGCGACAUGCAGCGCUUGCAGGGCAAUGACGGGACACAACACGGCCAGGCAACGUGCAAUGCGACAUGCAGCGCUUGCAGGGCAAUGACGGGACACAACACGGCCAGGCAACGUGCAAUGCGACAUGCAGCGCUUGCAGGGCAAUGACGGGACACAACACGGCCAGGCAACGUGCAAUGCGACAUGCAGCGCUUGCAGGGCAAUGACGGGACACAACACGGCCAGGCAACGUGCAAUGCGACAUGCAGCGCUUGCAGGGCAAUGACGGGACACAACACGGCCAGGCAACGUGCAAUGCGACAUGCAGCGCUUGCAGGGCAAUGACGGGACACAACACGGCCAGGCAACGUGCAAUGCGACAUGCAGCGCUUGCAGGGCAAUGACGGGACACAACACGGCCAGGCAACGUGCAAUGCGACAUGCAGCGCUUGCAGUGCAAGGCCGGGCCACAACACGGCCAGGCAGCGUGCAGUGCAACACGCAGCGCUUGCAGGGUAAGGCCGGGGCACAACACGGCCAGGCAGCGUGCAAUGCAACGCACAGCGCUUGUGGGUGUGGAUGGGCCAGACCCCGUGCAUUUUAUCUUAAUCCAUAGGAUGAAGUGACUGUCUUCCACGACAGGAUGUUUUCUGGUGUCUGUGGAGAUGUAAAUUUAGAUGCUUUUGUGCACACUGGGAAAUGUGACUAGUGUGUGCUGCAUUGUGUAGAUUUGGGUGUUGUCUGCUGCAACAAGGGGUGGCGGAGGCUUGGCAGCGGCAGUAGCAAAGGAUUUGCCUUCGGGAAGUAUAACAGCAUAUCUGGAAUGUAGUAGAGUGGUGCUUAUUUUUAUUAAGCAGUGGCUUAAACUUAGCCUUUGUUAAAAUACGGCAUUUUUAUUUAAAGAUUAACAUAUCCAAUUGUAGAAAUUAGUCAUUUGGGGCUGUGUUAACAUUUCCAGUCACAUCUGUAUUGCAUUAAGCAUUUUUAUGGUUCUGUUCCAUUUUAAUGUGGAGUCUUACAAGAAUUUUAGAACUGCUCUCUACUUAUAGCACAGUAUCUUCUAAUAUUAGAAAACAGGAACAAAGGGAUGCUUAGGAUCCAAAACUUCACCAACAUCAUACUAUAUUAUGAGCUGUCUGCAAUUUUCAGCUGGAGAGAAUGUUAAUGAAAUCAAAUUACUAUUGAAAAUUUUGAGAUAGCAUAUUGAAACGUUGCCUAGUUUGGUAUGGAAAGCAAGGCCAGCUGGCUCCACAGAAUGCACCCUCCCUUUCUUGAGUGAUUUCCCCAAGCCGCAGAAGUGCUGAGGGGUGGAGAUGCCCACUCUGCUUUUCCUUUCUCUAGGAAGCUCUCUGACCCUUAAAGAAAUAAUUAAUACAUUUCUUUAUCGUGUAGUGUUUUUCACCUUUUUGGACUUCCACUGUUGGAAUCAUUUGUUGAAAAAAGUUCCUUGCCCUUUUUUGAAAUCUUGAGAGUGAGUUUGGGAUCAGUAUUGAUUAAAAUUUAACAUAUAACUCUGCUUGUAUGACAAAUGCAUGCCUGUGGUUUAUCAUUCAUCUCUCCAUAUGGUCACAACUUUUCUCAUAGGAGAAAAUGAGUUCUGCUUUGUUGAGAGAAAAGUAAUUUAGUAAUUCAGUUGUGUAAAAUGUGAUUUGCAAUGUAUUUUCUUGCUACAGAUUUUUUUUUUAUGUAUCUUAAUGCAAAAAGAUGAGUCAUUUGUAAAUGGGGACAGAGAAAUUAUCUCUAGCUGGUGUUAAGAUGUGAUUUGUUCAGUUUUUAGAUCCUCUUAUAAAACAGCUUUGCCCGGAUUUUUUAUGAAAGCGUGUCCCUUUUGUCGUUGUUGUUUGAGUUAAUGUAUCAUUUUGAAUUUGGCCCAAUGAACAGAGAAAUGACUCAUAAAAGUUCUGAAUAGAAUUUGGCAUGGUGGCCUGUUUCUCUUCAGGAGAUGGUGGGUACUGGAUUAAGCAGUCAUGAUGUAUUCAGAUGCAAGUAUCUUGCUCUCAGAAGGUGUGGUUCAUUCAGGGCUGUCCUUUGUGUUGUCUAACAGCACUGGAAGAAUGCUGCUUUGCUACCGAAAACCCUGCCUGGGGUCACAUAGAACUAAGGUUUUCUCUUCUGCUAGAAAGCAGGGAUUGACACAGUGAAUGGGCUGUGUAAGCACUGGGAGGUGGGAAGGAAUCAGAGUUCUCACUUUGGUGUGAACCAAAGGAAUAGAAGGCCUUAAAACACUCUUCUUAUUCAGAACUGGCUGUGAAGAGUCUAGUGUGGAACUCAGCCGUACUGCAGUGAAAAACUUUCAGUGCUACUACUUGAGCAAAAGCCAUAUCUGUGCUUGCUUUGUGCAGUGCCCAGGCGCACGCCAUCCAUUACUCAGAGGGGUCGCUGUGUUAGUCUGUAACUUUAGAAAUAAGUGGCCCUGUGGCACCUUAGACACUAACCAAAAUAUAUAGAAUCAUGAACUUUCAUGGGUAAAACCCACUUCCUCAGAUGAAUCCAUUACUGAGAGAGGCAGGAAAAUAAACAUCAUGGAAACUGGCUUGGGGACGUAGCUCUGUGACAGGCUUCCCUUAGCCCUCUAAGUCCAUGUGGUUUGGCUCUGCAAGUCUAGCAAUGGACAUGCUAGAGGAGAGAAGUGGUGUGUCCUGUGGAAAGACUGAUCCCACUCCCUGAACCUCACAUCCCAUUAGGCGGUUUUGUUUUUUUAUUUAUUGAAAGCAGAUUGUUUGAUUUUAUUUAAUCCCUCCUUAGCAGUGACGCAAACAGAAGUAAGCUGAACUGUCACUCUUUAAGCUGGUCCAGCACAUCUACUGUAGGUGCAAAUAGGUCAUGAACCUGGACUUGUGCAGCUGGUAAAUUACUACAGGGGAGCGGACAAGCUUUGUCGCAAAGCUUCCUUAGUAAAGCUAAUCAAGACAAGCCCCGAGUUAUCAGAAU